UCUCUCUCUCUCUCUCUCUCUCUCUCUCUCUCUCACACACACACACACACACACACACGAGCCCAUCUCACUGCCUCCUCUGCCCACUCGCCUACUCCAGAGUUGUUACUGAGGUGGGCCUGCCUGUCUGAGAACUGGGAUCAGCAGAGGAGGCACAACAAUGGACUGUCUAUGGGUUUUGUAUGAGAAAAGAGAAAUUUUUGGUCUCAGAAAGGAUGGCAUUGCAAGGAGUACCGGGGUGGAAUGGGCUUCCAUCCUGGCAGAGACUAUGAGGAAGUCACCUCCCUCAGGGUGGGGAGAGGGCCCUUAGGGAGCUCACCUGGGACUGCAGUUGUCCCUCUGCUGUGUGCUCUGAGGCCAGGUUGGAACCUAGGAGUCUAACCCACAGUUCACCUGCUUUAAAAGGUCUCUGAUUUGUAUGGGAUAUCUUUUCUCACAGCAAAAUAUAGACCUAAUACAUCAAUGUAAGUUAAACCUUCUCUUUAACAAGGGAGGGACUUAGAAGGGCCACGCUGUUCCUGCACUUCUACUCCAUCCCAGACACCCUUGCCCCAUUUUGGUCCUCAGAGCCAGACCUUUAAUGAGUCCCAUGCAGAAGGGUCUGUAGCAGUGACAUUACAGAAGACUAUCCUAUGGGACAAUUGUUUCCUCUUUGUGUUUCCUCAUGAGCUUUAAAUAGACAGGCAGUCACAGUGAAACUCUCCCUGCGACCAAGACUGUGCUGUUCCCUGUCUCCAGUAGACAGACUGGUGAAUCACACAGAACCAUGAAGAUUGUCCCCUUGGCCAGCAUCUCCAUGCCUCCUACUGGCCCCUGUAGCUUAGGGUUUCAUCAGUACCAAGAGUGUGUUUUAAUGAAUAGAUUCCCCAUAGCAGUUCAUCAAUUAGUUUAAAAUUGCACCCGACCCACCACACACACCUUGUGAGCUUGGGUUGAGGCCUCUUCUCCAGAAAGAGCAUUGGCUGCCCUCCCAUGUCUGUCUCCUCUGCUGGCCAGUGACUUGUCAAAGGGUAGAGGGAAACAGCAUCUAAAGUUAGGAAGAAGAAAUGCCUUUUGUGUCACUGACCUGCAUUCUUUCCAUAUAUUUGUUUUCAUAGCAACAAACCAAAUGUUUUAAAACAGAAACCAGAACUGAUAUGAAGCAAUUUCAUCACCUGCCUUCCACAGCGCAAUUGGCGCCUCCAUAUUAAGUCCUGAGUGUCCUGUCCUUCCUCCUUUGGGGGUUUCUGUUGGACACAGUUUUCUCUUUUGAGCUACUCACUUGCAGCUGAGAAAGCACCUUUCUUCCCUAGUAGCAAGACCUAGAAGUGGGUAAUCCAAGACAGCAACAUGUCCUUAUUGCCAACAUCAGAAAAGAUUCAGGCCCACUUCAACUAAACAAAGUGGCACAGACCUAGGAAAUUCUCAGCUCCCGCUUUCCCCAAAAAGCUCAGUGACAUUUCCCAAGUGAGGAGGCAGGAGAGGAGGUGCUGUCAGUCUAGACUAGACUGAUGAAAAGGCUACCUCAGCACACCUAGGGCAGCAUGUGUGGAUACUGACAUGUGGGGCUGCUUCUUGACUUUGCUCCAGAAGAUACAAGCCCCACAGAGCCUCACCCAAGAGCCUGAGUACAACAGCAGAUACAUCUUCCAGCAACUGAUAUCUUCCAGCAGCAGAUACAUCUUCCAGCAGUUGAUACAUCUUCCAGCAGCAGAUACAUCUUCCAGCAACUGAUACAUCUUCCAGCAACAGAUACAUCUUCCAUCAGCAGAUACAUCUUCCAGUAUCUGAAACAUCUUCCAGCAGCAGAUACAUCUUCCAGUAUCUGAAACAUCUUCCAGCAGCAGAUACAUCUUCCAGUAUCUGAAACAUCUUCCAGCAGCAGAUACAUCUUCCAGCAGCAGAUACAUCUUCCAGCAACUGAUACAUCUUCCAGCAGCAGAUAUAUCUUCUAGCAACUGAUACAUCUUCCAGCAGCAGAUACAUCUUCCAGCAUCUGAAGCAUCUUCCAGCAGCAGAUACAUCUUCCAGUAUUUGAAACAUAUUCCAGCAGCAGAUACAUUUUCCAGCAGCAGAUACAUCUUCCAGCAGCAGAUAUAUCUUCUAGAAACUGAUACAUUUUCCAGCAGCAGAUACAUCUUCUAGCAACUGAUACAUCUUCUAGCAGCCAGGGAUUUCAGAAAGAGGUGGAGUGUAUGAAUGUGGAGGUCAGAAGACAAAUUGAAGGAGUCAGUUUUGCUACAUCGAUCCUGGGUUUUAGCCUCAGGUUAUCAAGUACCAUUACCCACUUAGCCAUCUUACCAGCCUGUGUGCUGUUGGGCAUUGGGCUAUACACUGACAGUCUGGUCUCCAGUCAAGCUGAGGUGUAACCCCGGGACCCAGUGGUGAUAAUUGACUUACAUGGGACAGAAGUUCUCUCAUGUCUCCUGGAACUCUGGCUCCUGUCAAAGUUACCGCCCCCACAGCCCUCAAAAGAGAAGCAUGGCUUUAGUCAAAUAGCCAAUGCCCCAAGCUUCUGACCUUCAGGUUAAACUCCUCCCCAGUUACCUAGCAACAGUAAAGAUAACAGCAUACCAUAAGAGGGGCUGUUUGGCCCCUCCUCAUUCUCUUGCUCUCUUGCUCUUACUCCCCUUACACUUACUCUCCCCUCCCCUCCCCUCCCCUCCCCUCUCCUCUCCUCUCCUCUCUCUCUCUAACCUCUUACUCACUCCCUCUUACUCUAGACUUUCUUCUCUCUCUUCUUUUCCCCUUUCUCUCCUCUUGGCCAUGGCUGGUCUCUCUCUCUUUCUACCUUUUCUCAUUCUCCCUGCCUUUUGAUAAUAAAGCUCUAAAACCAUAGACUGUCUCUGUUCAUCUAGGCCUGCUGUGCUUACUCUCGCCUGCAUUUGAACCUCUCUCCAUCAGCCCUCACUCCCAUAAACCCAGUGCUACAGGGUGUCGUCCCGGGGCCCCAGGUAAGGGGCUGUCCCUUUUCCACCACCACCAACAACAACCCCCCUUCGAGUGUGGUCAGUG